rnacentral:rRNA from 1 species
UUAAAAUUCAGUAAAUAUUGAAGAAAAUAUUUAAUAAUUAAAAAUAGACAUUUUUUUUAAAUUGAACUGAAAAGGAGAUUUAUUAUUAUUUCAAAAGAAAAAUAAUGUACCUUUAGCAUAAGGGGGUUUCAAAAAAGAAUAAAAAUUUAUUUUUCUCGAACUACUUUGAUCUAAAAUUUAAAUCAAUUUAAUGUUUCAAUAUUAAAUUCAAUUGAAUUUUAGAGGUGAAAUUCUUGUCAAAAAGUAAGAUAUCUAGUUAUGUAAAAUAAUUAUAUGUUGGCCCAUAAUGAUAUUUAAUUAAAAAUUUUAUGGGUAAGUGAUUUCGGGAUAAGCUGAAAUUAAUGAAUUUAAUUAUCAUUUAAGAUAAUUUAAAGGAAUAAUAUUGUCCUCAUUAUUGUCAUAAAUAAAUUUUUACCUAAAUUAGAGUAAUCAAAAAUUAUUUUAUUAAAUUUAAUUUAAAAUUUAAAUAAAAAUGAAAGCAUUAGUAAAAUAGACAUCAAAAUUAUCUUCAAUUUCAAAUUAUAAAUUAUUAAUUUAAUCUCAAUGAAUUAGGCAAAUAAUUUCUCUGACUGUUUAAUAAAAACAACACAUUUAGAAAAAAAAUAAAUGCAAAUCCUGCUCAAUGAAUUUUUUAAAUUGCUGUAGUAUUUUGACUAUACAAAGGUAUUGAAAUAAGAUUUUAAUUGAAUGCUAAGAGAAUGGAAUUUCAGGGAAAAGCUUUAUUGAAAUUAAAAUUUGAAGUUUUUUUAAUUUGUGCAGAAACAAUUAUUAAUAUUAAGGACAAGAAGACCCUAUGAAUUUAUUAAAUUUUACUAAUAAAUAAUUAUGUUAAUAAAAUUUUGGCUGGGGCGGCAAAAAAAUAUUAAGAACUUUUUAAUUUCAAAAUGAUCCAUUAUUAAUGAUUAUAUGAAAAAUACUCUAGGGAUAACAGCGUUAUAUUUUUUGAUAGAUCAUAUUGACAAAAAAGUUUGCGACCUCGAUGUUGGAUUAGGAUACUUUUUUAAUGAAGAAAUUAAAAAAAGAAGUUUGUUCAACUUUUAAACUCCUACAUGAUCUGAGUUUAGACCGAUGAGAAUCAGGUUGGAUUCUAUCUUAAUAAUGAAAAACUUUCAGCUAGUACGAAAGGAAUUCUGAAAUCUAAUUAUUGGGAUAAUCGACUUUAUUUGCAUCAAUUUUUGUAAU